rnacentral:rRNA from 1 species
AAAGAUUAAGCCAUGCAAGUCUAAGUAUAAGCAACUAUACGGCGAAACUGCGAACGGCUCAUUAUAUAAGUUAUCGUUUAUUUGAUAGCACCUUACUACUUGGGUAACCGUGGUAAUUCUAGAGCUAAUACAUGCUAAAAAUCCCGACUCCGGAAGGGAUGUGUUUAUUAGAUUCAAAACCAAUGCCCCCUGGGCUCACUGGUGAUUCAUGAUAACCGCUCGAAUCGCACGGCCUUGCGCCGGCGAUGGUUCAUUCAAAUUUCUUCCCUAUCAACUUUCGAUGUUUGGGUAGUGGCCAAACAUGGUUGCAACGGGUAACGGAGGGUUAGGGCUCGACCCCGGAGAAGGAGCCUGAGAAACGGCUACUACAUCCAAGGAAGGCAGCAGGCGCGCAAAUUACCCAAUCCCGACACGGGGAGGUAGUGACAAUAAAUACCGAUAUAGGGCUCUUUUGGGUCUUAUAAUUGGAAUGAGUACAAUUUAAAUCCCUUAACGAGGAACAAUUGGAGGGCAAGUCUGGUGCCAGCAGCCGCGGUAAUUCCAGCUCCAAUAGCGUAUAUUAAAGUUGUUGUGGUUAAAAAGCUCGUAGUUGAACCUUGGGCCUGGCUGGCCGGUCCGCCUCACCGCGUGCACUGGUCCGGCCGGGCCUUUCCCUCCGCGGAACCCCAUGCCCUUCGCUGGGCGUGGCGGGGAAACGGGACUGUUACUUUGAAAAAAUUAGAGUGCUCCAGGCAGGCCUAUGCUCGAAUACAUUAGCAUGGAAUAAUGAAAUAGGACGCGCGGUUCUAUUUUGUUGGUUUCUAGGACCGCCGUAAUGAUUGAUAGGGACAGUCGGGGGCGUCAGUAUUCAACCGUCAGAGGUGAAAUUCUUGGACCGGUUGAAGACUAACUACUGCGAAAGCAUUCGCCAAGGAUGUUUUCAUUAAUCAGGAACGAAAGCUAGGGGAUCGAAGACGAUCAGAUACCGUCGUAGUCUUAGCCAUAAACUAUGCCGACUAGGGAUCGGGCGAUGUUAUUCUUUGACUCGCUCGGCACCUUCCGAGAAAUCAAAGUGCUUGGGCUCCAGGGGGAGUAUGGUCGCAAGGCUGAAA